CGUGGUCGGUACUCGUGGGGAACAGAGCCAGUUGAAUGCCGCCGUGUCGUGCCUUGCGGUCCAUCGCCGGUCCUGCGAUCAUCCUAAGCGAGUUACACGCUAGUUUACUCAUAUUCGGAGUAUAAAUAAAAAAUAUAAACUGUAAAAUAAAUUAAAGAGAAGUUCGCGAGGAUUAAAUUUCGCAAAAUAAAAAUGAGUUAGACUAAUUCUUUCCUUCAUUUUAUUUUUAUCAAAUUAUUUUUUGUAGCCCCUGUAUUAUAGAAUUUAUUAUUUUAUUCAAACAGUAUUUUUUAAAUGUGGCGUCUUUAUUAGUAUUGCGUGCAAUGUGUCUGUCAAUCCUUCCGUCAUAAUACCUGAUGAUUACUUUGUUAUUUGAUUUCUAUCAUUUUUAUGCUGUCAUCUUAAAAUGUGUUGCUGACGAAUUGGGAUUUUUAUGUUGAGAUAUUGGAUGGAUAAUAAAGUAGAACAUAAGAUGAGUUCAAAGAGCAAUCAAUUCAGUAGACGAUACCUUAAUGAAGUUAGUUUCAAAAAUAUUAUCAUUUUUAAUGUUUUUAUUGGACACUAAACAUAAUAUUAUAUUGUUAGUUAUACUGUAGUCGCCAGUUAUCGAUCGUAGAUAAGACUAGAAAUAUUGUUUAUGACGACUCAAAAAAAUAAUUGAAUGCAUAAUCGUUGAAAAAAAGAAGCUGAAACUGUCAUUUACAAAAUGAUGGUGGAUAAAAAACAGACAUCUACUCCUUACCUAUUACAAAUGCCGCGUUGCUCUCUCUUAAUCAACAGUGGGCGUUGAACAUUUGAUAAUAGUUUUGACAGGUCAUGCCAAACAGAUUUGUUCGAGUCUAACGAUGUAGUGUGUAAUAAAUGUAUUGUACAACGGUAUAAUAUUGCGAAGAUCGUUUUUUAACGCAAAUAAAGUUUUGACGGGGGUAGUAUGCAAUUCAUUUUUGGUCAUACAAUCGAUUUCUGUUGUCCUAGUACACGCAACAAAGACGGUAAUUGUUGUCAUUUAUUUGUCACUGGAAAUUUAAUAUUUUUUUGCUUUUGGCCACUUAUUAUGGUUAUAAUGUUAUAAUGUUUGUUCAGUGUUAAUCAUUUGUAGUUUUAAGACAAAGAAUAGCGACGCGCCUAAGAUAAAAAAAAAAUGACGUAAUGUUAAAAUACAUUGAUUAUAUAUAAAUUAUAGGUCUCUGUCGCUAAGACAUGAUAUAGAAAAUUUGAAUAAAAACAUUUUAGUUAAAAGCUCCGAUGCUUGAAAUAACACAAAAAGGAACGCAUGAAAUUAUGAUUGAAACGUUAUGUUAAAACAAUACAAUAUUACAUUCAUGUAUAAACUAAUAGUGGAAACCUACUAUAUCAUUCAGCUUUAUUCAUGCAAACUCUUGAACGAUAAAACGAGUAAAACAAACAAAACAAAUAGUAGGUAGCAAUAAAACGAUUUAUACGGUAGAAUAACGAUCAUACACUUUAUUUAUUACCGUUAAAUGUGCAUUGUGCGAAUAAAAACAAAACACUAUAUUGUUCUUGUGGUUAUUAAAAUCUAUGAUUUUAUCUGUCUGCAUGAUAUUAACUCGAGAAAAAAUUAUGGAGAAAUACACGAUGGACAGAUCGUGUAUUUAUAAGUUAAUGAAUAAGGUGUCAAGCGAAUGCGUGCAGUUAUUUUGUGGUUUUUUUUUCAUUUAUUAAAUGUAAACCCAUACGUUGGUUGUUAUUCGUUAGGGUUGAUUGCAACCGCUGCCACAAGAUGCAUAGGGUUUAAUAAAAUUCGAUAAUAUUUGAGCGCUAUAUGGAGGUCACCUCGUGUAUAGGAAGGGAUGGAAAUGUCCGAUCAAGGGAUAUAGACGGUUUGUCGACCUGAGUUUUAUCAGAAAUUUGUUUUUUUUCCUAUCCGAAGUACAUCAUUUUUGGUAGCUAAUAGAGGGUUGUGAAAUAUACAUCGGCGUGGUGCUGUUUGUUCAUCAUCAAUCAUUGAAUCGACUGGGUGGGGUGCCAUCGUUGUGAAAUUACACUGACUCCUAAUCCUUCUGUAUACUUCCUAUCUAUAGUUUUGCAGGAACCACUUUCAUUUAGCACGUCAAUCAUAUAAUAUUAUAACGUAUAUGAAAACAAAAGUUUCCCACAAAAACCUUUAUACUGUUAAAUAUUAUAACUUAAAGCUUGAGCUAUAUAUGGAAGUACUUAUGAGCUGUACAUACGAGUACUUUGCUUCAUUAUUAUUGCCGUAGAGACAUACUUAACUGUUUGGUAAGUUUUGACAAACUGCUCAAUUCUCAUUAAUACAAUUUAAUUGAAUCCAUUAGUAAUUAAAAUAAUAUACCUGCCUAUUGUUAAGUUUACAUUGAAGAUAAGUAAAUUGUUGAUAGUUUAUUUGAUUGGUUUAUCUUUGAAUAGAUAAGAUACUAAAAUUUUUAUUUA